rnacentral:rRNA from 1 species
GAGGGUGCAAGCGUUAAUCGGAAUUACUGGGCGUAAAGCGUGCGUAGACGGUUACGUAAGUCGGGUGUGAAAGCCCCGGGCUCAACCUGGGAAUUGCAUUCGAGACUGCGUAGCUAGGGUGCGGAAGAGGGAAGCGGAAUUUCGGGUGUAGCGGUGAAAUGCGUAGAUAUCCGAAGGAACAUCAGUGGCGAAAGCGGCUUCCUGGUCCAGCACCGACGUUCAGGCACGAAAGCGUGGGGAGCAAACAGGAUUAGAUACCCUGGUAGUCCACGCCAUAAACGAUGACAACUAGACGUUGAGAGGGUAAGCCUCCCAGUGUCGCAGCAAACGCGUUAGGUUGUCCGCCUGGGGAGUACGGCCGCAAGGUUG